CAAGUACUCCCUCCGUUCGGAAUUACUUGUCUCGGAAAUGGAUGUAUCUAAAACCAAAACACGUCUAGAUACAUCCAUUUCUGCGACAAGUAAUUCCGAACGGAGGGAGUAAUUC
rfam:Triticum aestivum genome assembly, contig: Triticum_aestivum_CS42_TGACv1_scaffold_000457_1AL